AUAGCAAAAAUCUAAGUUAAAUCAUUUGUUUGCGAGCUAUAACCUAGUGGAAUACGUUUAUUUAUCGGUUUUAAGUAGGUUGUAGCUCGGUGACAAAAUGCUUUACUUUGCAACAGGAAAAUC
rnacentral:precursor_RNA from 15 species